rnacentral:rRNA from 1 species
UACGUAGGGUGCAAGCGUUGUCCGGAAUUAUUGGGCGUAAAGAGCUCGUAGGCGGUCUGUCGCGUCUGGUGUGAAAAUCCAGGGCUUAACCCUGGACCUGCAUCGGGUACGGGCAGACUAGAGUGCGGUAGGGGAGAUCGGAAUUCCUGGUGUAGCGGUGAAAUGCGCAGAUAUCAGGAGGAACACCGAUGGCGAAGGCAGAUCUCUGGGCCAUUACUGACGCUGAGGAGCGAAAGCGUGGGGAGCGAACAGG